CUGCUGCCUCCCGUAGGAGUUUGGGCCGUGUCUCAGUCCCAAUGUGGCCGAUCACCCUCUCAGGUCGGCUACUGAUCGUCGCCUUGGUAGGCCUUUACCCCACCAACUAGCUAAUCAGACGCGGGUCCAUCUCAUACCACCGGAGUUUUUCACACCGAAUCAUGCGAUUCUGUGCGCUUAUGCGGUAUUAGCAGUCAUUUCUAACUGUUAUCCCCCUGUAUGAGGCAGGUUACCCACGCGUUACUCACCCGUCCCG
rnacentral:rRNA from 1 species